CAACAAUCAGCAAACCCGAUCACUCCACUCCCUGGACAGCUCUGCUUGAUGAAACCCCACCCAGGAACCCCAGAGGAGCGACAGACUGGCGUGAUGUUGGGAAUGAUUCCCGAAGUGCAAGUCCGUCCCUGUCGGUACUCAGUAACCGCUCAGCAUCAGGACGCCAGCUGUGCAGCGCCGUCACGAAGAUCGGGAAGCCCUGCAAGAAGAGAGCCACAGCGGGGCAGGAGUACUGCAGAGUGCACGAAGGCGGCCACACCUCCUACAUGGACUGACUUCCUGUUAGCACUGUGACAUCACACCAGACUCCACCUUCCUGUGGUUUGUAGUAUUUUGAGCAGCUGGCGUAUUCCGCUGUCAACCCCAGUGCAUUGGGCUCAGUGUUCAGCCUGAAUUUAUUACUUUUUUUUUCUUCCUGUUUGUUUUUCAUGUAAAACAACUUUUAAAAGCUCUUAUUCCUUUUACCUUCUCACUUGAAAGUUAAUAAAAAAUGUUUUAACCUUUUGUGUGUUCACACUACAUAUUUAAAUGCAGUAUGAUGGAACUACUUUUCAAAACCUACAACUAGAACUUUAUCUCAGAUUCCUUUAGGUUCAAAUGGCCUUGAAAUAAACUCCUUA